rnacentral:rRNA from 1 species
AGAUACUGCUUUUGGAGUUCGAUUAAGUCAUGCAAGUCAGAACGUAAGUUCGGCGAACGGCUCAGUAACACGUGGGUAACCUGCCCUAUGGUCUGGAAUAACCUCGGGAAACUGAGGGUAAAACCAGAUAGAGUAAUUCUACUGGAAUGUGUUUUACUUGAAAGGUAACGCCAUAGGAUGGGCCUGCGUUAGAUUAGGUUGUUGGUGAGGUAAUGGCUCACCAAGCCUGUGAUCUAUAAGGGCAAUGAAAGUUGGAGCCCUGAGAAGAGGACUGAGACAAGGCCUCUAGCCCUACGGGGUGCAGCAGACGCGAAACCUCUACAAUGAACGAAAGUUUGAUAGGGGGACUCCGAGUGCUAUUAGGAAACUAAUGGCUUUUGUCAAGUGUAGAUAGCUUGGCGAAUAAGGACUGGGUAAGACCCGUGCCAGCCGCCGCGGUAAUACGGGCAGUUCUAGUGGUAUCCACGUAUAUUGGGCUUAAAGCGUCCGUAGCUGGUCCAGAAAGUUUCUAGUGAAAGCUCGCAGCUUAACUGAUGAGAGGUGCUAGAAAAACUUUUGGACUUGGAGGCGGGAGAGGUAAGAGGUACUUUUGGGGUAGCGGUUAAAUGUGUUAAUCCUGAAGGGACCACCGGUAGCGAAGGCGUCUUACUAGAACGCACUCGACAGUGAGGGACGAAGGCUAGGGGAGCAACCCGGAUUAGAUACCCGGUUAGUCCUAGCAGUAAAUGAUGCAGACUAGGUGUCCUGUAACCUACGUGGUUAUGGGGUGCCGAAGGGAAACCGUUAAGUCUGCCGCCUGGGGAGUACGGUCGCAAGACUGAAACUUAA